GAACACAAAAUGGCGACACGUGGUUAGCAUUCGUCGCCAACGAGAAAUUGGGGUCGGCCCGAAAGCUCUAGAAUGCACCCCUCUUCCUCCCCGGGGCCUUCCACCUCCGCGAGUUUUAUGACUUAAAAAAGCCCACAGGCUGGUCUGAAGAGGAAGACAAACAUAAAGAUGAAGUGCUUAAUUCAAGGUCACACAAUGUCGGGGAUGGACCUCCAGAUUUCCUUACUGACCUGCAUUAUCUUGUGGAUACCUGAGUGAAUUCCACACCACCCAUUUUAUAGAUGAAACCACUGAGACAUGGAGCAAUUGACUGAGUAGUCACUGCCCCACCCCUGCCUGGAGCCUCACACAUGACUCGCCUCCUCUCAGUGACCACAGGUUGGUUGAGGGGUUUAACAAGGCUAAGAAGUACUUAUCCUGUAUUACAUGAAGGAAAUGAAAUAAAAAGACUGCAGCCCCACUCCCAGCUACUCAGUGAGGUGGUAGCUAGAGACGGAGUCUUGCUAUGUUGCCCAGGCUGGUCUUGAACUCCUCACCUCAAGCGAUCCUCCCGUCUUGGCCUCCCAAGUGUCAGGAUUACGGGCAUGUGCUAUCACACCCAACCUGAUACAUUGCCUUUAUAAAUUUUUUUUUCUUUAUUCUAAAAACCAGAAAAAACAAAACUGGAUACAUGUGCAGAACAUGCAGGUGAGACGUGGUCUUGUAACACAGUGGUUAAGAAUGUGACUUUGGAGCCAGCCUGCUAGGGGCUGAAUUCUGACUCAGCCAUUUACUAACUGUGUGACCUUAGGCUGGAGUGCAAUGGCAUGAUCUCGGCUCAUCACAACCUCUGCUUCCUGGGUUCAAGCGAUUCUCCUGCCUCAGCCUCCCGAGUACCUGGGACUACAGGCACUCGCCACCAUGCCCGGCUGAUUUUUGUAUUUUUAAUAGAGAUGGUUUCACUAUGUUGGCCAGGCUGGUCUCGAACUCCUGACCUUGUGAUCUGCCCACCUCAGCCUCGAAAAGUGCUGGGAUUACAGGCGUGAGCCACUGCGCCCAGCCUUGUAUUUUUUUUCAGUUUGGGUAGCUGUCCCUAAUUCAUUUGUUAAAGGAGAAGCAAGAGCAAGAACCUUUAAUCUGUUCUCCUCUUCCCUAAUUUGAAAGUAGCUUGUUAUUUUGAAUAUCACUUUCUCUGAAAUAGCACAUCUCCAUCUCAGAGAAUGGAUUUAAUGUUUGGAUACAGCCAAAAGUCAUUUCAUUACCAAACCAUGGGGUGAAUAUACCAUGUAAAGCAGUUUGGGAUCAGAACUCACAGUCUGAAUUGUAAGUGAUGAGACUGCUGUCUCUCUGCUACAGCUUCUUGGCUGGCUCUGAAGGCUCUUUGAAGGCAGAUCCUAACAAGGGGACUGCUUUGAAGGGCCAUUGUUCAUUUGGAAUGAUAAAGUCUAUGUUGUUCAAAAAACAAAUGCUUGUAGCAGGUAUUUUUUCACUCCAGACUGAGAAUAUUGGUGGGAUAUUGAUAAGGGGUACUGAAUGGUAAUAAACAUGUGCUCUAGCUCUGUGCUAGUCAGCUUAUUUCAGAACUCUAGUUUGAUUCAGUUUCUUGCCUCUGACUCAAAAUGGAGGGAGAGUGAUUUUUACAUAAGAGAACACACCCACAUAUCCUUUUGGCAGCAGCUACCUGCCAGAGAUGUUGAAGAAGAGUAGCCAACCUUUACACAGCAGAUAUUGUGUGCCAGUCAUAGUCCUAAGUAUAAUACCUUACAUGUAUAAACUUCUUAUAAGGUUGGUGCUCUGUACCGAAUUGAAUAGUAUCCCCCAAAAUUCAUGUUGUCCCAGAACCUAUGAAAGUGAUCUUACUUGAGGGA
ensembl:lncRNA PCBP1-AS1 PCBP1 antisense RNA 1